rnacentral:rRNA from 1 species
GACGAACGCUGGCGGCGGGCCUAAUACAUGCAAGUAGAACGCAGUUGCGAACGGGUGAGUAACGCGUAGGUAACUGCCUGGUAGCGGGGGAGAACUAUUGGAAACGAUAGCUAAUACCGCAUACUACCAGAUGGACCUGCGUUGUAUUAGCUAGUUGGUGGGGUAACGGCUCACCAAGGCAACGAUACAUAGCCGACCUGGGAGGGGGAUCGUGCAACCUGAGACUGAGACACGGCCACGACCCCUACGGGAGGCAGAAGUAGGGAAUCUUCGGCAAGGGACGGAAGUCUGAGCGCGCAACGCCGAGGGAGUGAAGAAGGUUUUCGGAUCGUAAAGCUCUGUUGUAAGAGAAGCGGUAUCUUACCAAAAAGGGACGGCUAACUACGUGCCAGCAGCCGCGGUAAUAC